rnacentral:misc_RNA from 1 species
AGGAUCCCUUAUUAAAUGUCGAUCUGAACAACUCCUCUGUAUGGAUGGGUAAUUGGUCUCAGCUUUGCCCUACCUGCAAGAUAAUUAGACCCGUUCGCUCCAAGCACUGCCCCUCAUGUAAGCGCUGUGUAGAGCAAUUUGACCAUCACUGCCCUUGGAUAUCUAACUGUGUGGGGAAGAGGAACAAACGGGACUUCUUCAUUUUUUUAUGCCUGGGAACUUUGACGUCAUUCCUUGGUGCUGCUAUUACAGUUCAAAGAAUUUGGACAGCUGUGGAGUCAUUGCAUACAGAAGGAAGAUGGAUUCGUUAUGUGGUUGUUCAACAUCCUGGGGUUGUUACAUUUUUGGUUUUGGACAUGAUUAUUUUCAUUGCUGCCACAACUUUAACCAUAGCACAAGCGUCACAGAUAGCUCGGAAUAUCACCACUAAUGAACUUGCAAAUGCUGCUCGUUAUGGAUAUCUUCGUAGUCCAGAUGGACGGUUUCGGAAUCCAUACAACCAUGGGUGCCGAAAGAAUUUUGCAGAUUUCCUUAUUCAGGGCUAUACAGAUGAUGAUGAAAUUGCUUGGCCACCAUUACAGCAGGCUGCCAGCUAGAACUAAUGCAACGAAAUGCUGCUUUGCUUGGUGGAAUACCCCUUGCAAAUGCCAAGAUCCUUGUACUGUUGUGCAGU